rnacentral:rRNA from 1 species
AGAGUUUGAUCCUGGCUCAGAACGAACGUUGGCGGCAUGGAUUAGGCAUGCAAGUCGGGGGAAUCCCGCAAGGGGGAACCGGCGUAAGGGGCAGUAAGGCAUGGGUACCUACCUUUGGGUUCGGGAUAGCCAUCAGAGAUGGUGGGUAAUACCGGAUGAUGUCGUGAGACCAAAGAUUUAUCGCCCUUAGAGGGGCCCAUGUGAUAUUAGCUAGUUGGUGAGGUAACGGCUCACCAAGGCGAAGAUGUCUAGCGGGUGUGAGAGCACGACCCGCGCCACUCGCACUGAGACACUGGCGAGACACCUACGGGUGGCUGCAGUCGAGGAUCUUCGGCAAUGGGCGCAAGCCUGACCGAGCGAUGCCGCGUGCGCGACGAAGGCCUUCGGGUUGUAAAGCGCUUUAGUGGGGGAGAAAAGCCGAAAGGUGUGAUCUAUCCCAAAAAUAAGCUCGGGCUAAGUUCGUGCCAGCAGCCGCGGUAAUAC